rnacentral:rRNA from 1 species
CCUACGGGGUGCAGCAGUGGGGAAUAUUGGGCAAUGGGCGCAAGCCUGACCCAGCAACGCCGCGUGAAGGAAGAAGGCUCUCGGGUUGUAAACUUCUUUUAUCAGGGACGAAGCAAGUGACGGUACCUGAAGAAUAAGCCACGGCUAACUACGUGCCAGCAGCCGCGGGAAUACGUAGGUGGCAAGCGUGAUCCGGAUUUACUGGGGGUAAAGGGCGUGUAGGCGGGAACGCAAGUGCGAUGUGAAAACCAUGGGCUCAACCUGUGGCCUGCAUUUGAAACUGUUUUUCUUGAGUACUGGGGAGGCAGACGGAAUUCCUAGUGUAGCGGUGAAAUGCGUAGAUAUUAGGCGGAACACCAGUGGCGCAGGCGGUCUGCUGGACAGCAACUGACGCUGAGGCGCGAAAGCGUGGGGAGCAAACAGGAUUAGAUACCCUGGUAGUC